ACUAUCGUUAACUGAAUACAUAGGUUAACGAGGCGAACCGGGGGAACUGAAACAUCUAAGUACCCCGAGGAAAAGAAAUCAACCGAGAUUCCCCCAGUAGCGGCGAGCGAACGGGGAGCAGCCCAGAGUCUGAAUCAGCUUGUGUGUUAGUGGAACGGUCUGGAAAGUCCGACGGUACAGGGUGAUAGUCCCGUACACCAAAAUGCACAGGUUGUGAACUCGAAGAGUAGGGCGGGACACGUGGUAUCCUGUCUGAAUAUGGGGGGACCAUCCUCCAAGGCUAAAUACUCCUGACUGACCGAUAGUGAACCAGUACCGUGAGGGAAAGGCGAAAAGAACCCCGGCGAGGGGAGUGAAAAAGAACCUGAAACCGUGUACGUACAAGCAGUGGGAGCACCUUUAGGUGUGACUGCGUACCUUUUGUAUAAUGGGUCAGCGACUUAUAUUCUGUAGCAAGGUUAACCGUAUAGGGGAGCCGCAGGGAAACCGAGUCUUAACUGGGCGUUAAGUUGCAGGGUAUAGACCCGAAACCCGGUGAUCUAGCCAUGGGCAGGUUGAAGGUUGGGUAACACUAACUGGAGGACCGAACCGACUAAUGUUGAAAAAUUAGCGGAUGACUUGUGGCUGGGGGUGAAAGGCCAAUCAAACCGGGAGAUAGCUGGUUCUCCCCGAAAGCUAUUUAGGUAGCGCCUCGUGAAUUCAUCUUCGGGGGUAGAGCACUGUUUCGGCUAGGGGGUCAUCCCGACUUACCAACCCGAUGCAAACUACGAAUACCGAAGAAUGUUAUCACGGGAGACACACGGCGGGUGCUAACGUCCGUCGUGAAGAGGGAAACAACCCAGACCGCCAGCUAAGGUCCCAAAGUCACAGUUAAGUGGGAAACGAUGUGGGAAGGCACAGACAGCCAGGAUGUUGGCUUAGAAGCAGCCAUCAUUUAAAGAAAGCGUAAUAGCUCACUGGUCGAGUCGGCCUGCGCGGAAGAUGUAACGGGGCUAAACUGUGCACCGAAGCUGCGGCAGCGACACUAUGUGUUGUUGGGUAGGGGAGCGUUCUGUAAGCCUGCGAAGGUGGCCUGUGAGGGUUGCUGGAGGUAUCAGAAGUGCGAAUGCUGACAUAAGUAACGAUAAUGCGGGUGAAAAGCCCGCACGCCGGAAGACCAAGGGUUCCUGUCCAACGUUAAUCGGGGCAGGGUGAGUCGACCCCUAAGGCGAGGCCGAAAGGCGUAGUCGAUGGGAAACAGGUUAAUAUUCCUGUACUUGGUGUUACUGCGAAGGGGGGACGGAGAAGGCUAUGUUAGCCGGGCGACGGUUGUCCCGGUUUAAGCAUGUAGGCGGAGGUUCCAGGUAAAUCCGGUACCUUUUUAACGCUGAGGUGUGAUGACGAGGCACUACGGUGCUGAAGUAACAAAUGCCCUGCUUCCAGGAAAAGCCUCUAAGCAUCAGGUAACAUUGAAUCGUACCCCAAACCGACACAGGUGGUCAGGUAGAGAAUACCAAGGCGCUUGAGAGAACUCGGGUGAAGGAACUAGGCAAAAUGGUGCCGUAACUUCGGGAGAAGGCACGCUGAUAUGUAGGUGAAGCCCCUGCGGGUGGAGCUGAAAUCAGUCGAAGAUACCAGCUGGCUGCAACUGUUUAUUAAAAACACAGCACUGUGCAAACACGAAAGUGGACGUAUACGGUGUGACGCCUGCCCGGUGCCGGAAGGUUAAUUGAUGGGGUUAUCCGUAAGGAGAAGCUCUUGAUCGAAGCCCCGGUAAACGGCGGCCGUAACUAUAACGGUCCUAAGGUAGCGAAAUUCCUUGUCGGGUAAGUUCCGACCUGCACGAAUGGCGUAAUGAUGGCCAGGCUGUCUCCACCCGAGACUCAGUGAAAUUGAACUCGCUGUGAAGAUGCAGUGUACCCGCGGCAAGACGGAAAGACCCCGUGAACCUUUACUAUAGCUUGACACUGAACAUUGAGCCUUGAUGUGUAGGAUAGGUGGGAGGCUUUGAAGCGUGGACGCCAGUCUGCGUGGAGCCAACCUUGAAAUACCACCCUUUAAUGUUUGAUGUUCUAACGUUGGCCCCUUAUCGGGGUUGCGGACAGUGUCUGGUGGGUAGUUUGACUGGGGCGGUCUCCUCCCAAAGAGUAACGGAGGAGCACGAAGGUUAGCUAAUCCUGGUCGGACAUCAGGAGGUUAGUGCAAUGGCAUAAGCUAGCUUGACUGCGAGCGUGACGGCGCGAGCAGGUGCGAAAGCAGGUCAUAGUGAUCCGGUGGUUCUGAAUGGAAGGGCCAUCGCUCAACGGAUAAAAGGUACUCCGGGGAUAACAGGCUGAUACCGCCCAAGAGUUCAUAUCGACGGCGGUGUUUGGCACCUCGAUGUCGGCUCAUCACAUCCUGGGGCUGAAGUAGGUCCCAAGGGUAUGGCUGUUCGCCAUUUAAAGUGGUACGCGAGCUGGGUUUAGAACGUCGUGAGACAGUUCGGUCCCUAUCUGCCGUGGGCGCUGGAGAAUUGAGGGGGGCUGCUCCUAGUACGAGAGGACCGGAGUGGACGCAUCACUGGUGUUCGGGUUGUCAUGCCAAUGGCAUUGCCCGGUAGCUAAAUGCGGAAGAGAUAAGUGCUGAAAGCAUCUAAGCACGAAACUUGCCCCGAGAUGAGUUCU
rnacentral:rRNA from 1 species